GGGGUUUUAGCUCAGUUGGUAGAGCACUACAAUGGCAUUGUAGGGGUCAGGGGUUCGAUUCCCCUAAGCUCCACCA
rnacentral:tRNA from 1 species